GACGAACGCUGGCGGCGUGCCUAAUACAUGCAAGUAGAACGCUGAAACUUGGUGCUUGCACCGAGCGGAUGAGUUGCGAACGGGUGAGUAACGCGUAGGUAACCUGCCUGGUAGCGGGGGAUAACUAUUGGAAACGAUAGCUAAUACCGCAUAAGAGUAGAUGUUGCAUGACAUUUGCUUAAAAGGUGCAAUUGCACCACUACCAGAUGGACCUGCGUUGUAUUAGCUAGUUGGUGGGGUAACGGCUCACCAAGGCGACGAUACAUAGCCGACCUGAGAGGGUGAUCGGCCACACUGGGACUGAGACACGGCCCAGACUCCUACGGGAGGCAGCAGUAGGGAAUCUUCGGCAAUGGACGGAAGUCUGACCGAGCAACGCCGCGUGAGUGAAGAAGGGUUUCGGAUCGUAAAGCUCUGUUGUAAGAGAAGAACGAGUGUGAGAGUGGAAAGUUCACACUGUGACGGUAUCUUACCAGAAAGGGACGGCUAACUACGUG
rnacentral:rRNA from 1 species